AUUGAACGCUGGCGGCAGGCCUAACACAUGCAAGUCGAGCGGAUGAAGGGAGCUUGCUCCUGGAUUCAGCGGCGGACGGGUGAGUAAUGCCUAGGAAUCUGCCUGGUAGUGGGGGAUAACGUCCGGAAACGGGCGCUAAUACCGCAUACGUCCUGAGGGAGAAAGUGGGGGAUCUUCGGACCUCACGCUAUCAGAUGAGCCUAGGUCGGAUUAGCUAGUUGGUGGGGUAAAGGCCUACCAAGGCGACGAUCCGUAACUGGUCUGAGAGGAUGAUCAGUCACACUGAGACUGGACCACCAUCCUGACUCCUACAGGAGGCCCCAGUGCGGACUAUUGGACAAUGGGCGAAAGCCUGCUCCAGCCAUGCCACGUGUGUGAAGAAGGUCUUCGUGUUGUAAAACACUUUAAGUUGGGAGGAAGCGUAGUAAGUUAAUACCUUCCUGUUUUGACGUUACCUACAGAAUAAGCACCGGCUAACUACGUG
rnacentral:rRNA from 1 species